rnacentral:rRNA from 1 species
UACGUAGGGGGCUAGCGUUGUCCGGAAUCAUUGGGCGUAAAGAGCGUGUAGGCGGCCCGGUAAGUCCGCUGUAAAAGUCAAAGGCUCAACCUUUGAAUGUCAGUGGAUACUGCCGGGCUAGAGUCCGGAAGAGGCGAGUGGAACUCCUGGUGUAGCGGUGGAAUGCGCAGAUAUCAGGAAGAACACCAACGGCGAAGGCAGCUCGCUGGGACGGUAUUGACGCUGAGGCGCGAAAGCGUGGGGAGCAAACAGG